CAUCAUCACAGGUCCUUUUCCUCCUUAAUCUGCACAGCCUGACUCCUCCCACACAUGACUAUGCCAUCAUCACAGGUCCUGUAACCCCUGAAGAAGUAUACGUGUGAUGUGCAGCCGUGCAGGAGGUUCCUACAAUAUAGGAUCCACUCAGUGCAUAUCUUCUAUAUAAGAUCAUUCUCCUGAUUGACCUGUCAAGGAUGGAUACGGAUAAGGACAAGAUGGCAGAGACUAUAAUAAAUCUCACCCUAGAGAUCCUCUUCCGGCUUACUGGGGAGGAUUACUUAGUGUUGAAGAGGACCUCUAGUGAGCCCUGUCAGGAUCCUGUAUUUAAAGGACAGGGAAGAAUCCUGAGCCCAAUUAAGGGGCCUCCACCUCACCCCCUGAUACAUGAGAAAAUCAAUAAAGAGAAGAUCCUAGAACUCACCAACAAGAUGAUUGAGCUGCUGACUGGAGAGGUUCCUAUAAGGUGUCAGGAUGUCACCGUCUAUUUC